AGCGCAUGAUGUGGGCACUUCCUUAGCAUAUCUUUAUAUAUGUCACAUGCUUCAUAAAAAGGCUCCAUGUCAUUUUGAGCAAAGGAAAUAAUGUCAUUCCUAAGUUU
rfam:Prunus persica cultivar Lovell chromosome G8, whole genome shotgun sequence.